rnacentral:tRNA from 1 species
GGGCCCGUAGCUCAGGUGGGAGAGCGCCGCCUUUGCACGGCGGAGGCCAGGGGUUCGAGUCCCCUCGGGUCCA